rnacentral:rRNA from 1 species
UCCGCAGGCGGGCUUGUAAGUCAGUGGUGAAAUCUUGCCGCUUAACGGUAAAACUGCCAUUGAUACUGCAAGUCUUGAAUAUGGUUGAGGUAGGCGGAAUGUGUUGUGUAGCGGUGAAAUGCAUAGAUAUGACACAGAACGCCGAUUGCGAAGGCAGCUUACUAAGCCAUUAUUGACGCUGAGGCACGAAAGCGUGGGGAGCGAACAGGAUUAGAUACCCUGGUAGUC